CAAACGACUCUCGGCAACGGAUAUCUCGGCUCACGCAUCGAUGAAGAACGUAGCAAAAUGCGAUACUUGGUGUGAAUUGCAGAAUCCCGUGAACCAUCGAGUUUUUGAACGCAAGUUGCGCCCGAAGCCAUCCGGCAGAGGGCACGCCUGCCUGGGCGUCACGCAUCGCG
rnacentral:rRNA from 1 species